rnacentral:rRNA from 1 species
GACGUAGGGCGCGAGCGUUGUCCGGAUUUAUUGGGCGUAAAGAGCUCGUAGGCGGCUUGUCGCGUCGACUGUGAAAACCCGCGGCUCAACUGCGGGCCUGCAGCCGAUACGGGCAGGCUAGAGUUCGGUAGGGGAGACUGGAAUUCCUGGUGUAGCGGUGAAAUGCGUAGAUAUUGGGAGGAACACCGGUGGCGAAGGCGGCCCCUGGACCGGAACUGACGCUGAGGCGCGAAAGCGUGGGUAGCAAACGGG